CCUUCCUCUCUUCACUAUCUUC
rnacentral:miRNA from 1 species